CCUACGGGAGGCAGCAGUGAGGAAUAUUGGUCAAUGGGCGGGAGCCUGAACCAGCCAAGUCGCGUGAGGGAUGACGGCCCUAUGGGUUGUAAACCUCUUUUGCCGGGGAGCAAAGUGCCGCACGUGUGCGGUUUGGAGAGUACCCGGAGAAAAAGCAUCGGCUAACUCCGUGCCAGCAGCCGCGGUAAUACGGAGGAUGCGAGCGUUAUCCGGAUUUAUUGGGUUUAAAGGGUGCGUAGGCGGUCGGAUAAGUUAGAGGUGAAAUCCCGAGGCUCAACUUCGGAAUUGCCUCUGAUACUGUUCGGCUAGAGAGUAGUUGCGGUAGGCGGAAUGUAUGGUGUAGCGGUGAAAUGCUUAGAGAUCAUACAGAACACCGAUUGCGAAGGCAGCUUACCAAGCUACUUCUGACGUUGAGGCACGAAAGCGUGGGGAGCAAACAGGAUUAGAUACCCUUGUAGUC
rnacentral:rRNA from 1 species